rnacentral:lncRNA from 1 species
UUCACCUCAGAUAUUAUAGAGUUCUGAUUCUCCAGCCUCCAGAGCUCCUGGUUCUGGGCCUUCAGCCUUAGAUUGGAAGUUACACCAUCAAUUCUCCCAUUUCUCAGAUCCUCUGUCUUAGACUAAAUUAUACCCCGCCAGGUUUCCUGGUUCUCCAGUUUGCAGACAAUAUAUAAUGGGACUUCUCAGCUUCCAUAAUUGUGUGAACCAGUUCCUAUAUAAAUAUCCUCAUGUAUAUCUAUCUAUACAUAUCCUAUUGAUUCUGUUUCUCUGGAAUAUUCUGCCUAAUACAAUUAUUUAUUUAACAAAUUCCCUAUUGUUGAAUAUUUGGAUUAUUUCCAAUUUUCAACCAUUCAAAACAACACUGCAAAGAACAUCCUUAUAAGUUCACCUGUGUUUCUUUCUUUUCUUCAUUUUAUAUCGAAGUCUAAAAGAAGUAAUCCUUAAUCUCUGAUUAUACAACUUUCCAUUUCCAUAACACUAUUGACAAGAGAGCUUAGUUGAAAAAAAUAUAUAUAUAUAUACUUUCCAACAGUUGCAUAGCACAGUGCCUACAUAUAGUAUUUGCUCAACAAAUGAAGGUUAUUAAUAGCUCCAAGAGAGCAUAGCCUCCUUGACAUCAAAUUCAAAGAAUGGUUUUCCUUAGCUGCCAUUUAUACACUUUGACAUAGCCUUUUUAAAGGGAUUUAAAUGUUGGUGUUAUACUAUCCCUCAGGAAAUAGGUUCCAUUUGUUUCAUACUCAUGCAAAAAGUAUAUUUAUAUGUGUUUUUGCUCCAUUUAUAGUUUAGCAAACCCCUCAUCUCAAUAUUUCAAGAUUAGAAAAAACCAUUCUUAAAAAAUUCAAAGAACACAUAAAACCUUUGCGCUUAUAGGGAUGUAUCAUAUGCAAAACAGAGUUCACUAUUAUUCCUUCUAAAAAUGGAUUAAACUGGUUUUAGAAACAAAUAAAGGGAGCUAAGGAUUUUCACUUUUUAUGUUACAUUUAAAAUACUUUAUUGGGAUCCCUGAGUGGCACAGCGGUUUAGCACCUGCCUUUGGCCCAGGGUGCGGUCCUGGAGACCCAGGAUCAAAUCCCAAGUCGGGCUCCCGGUGCAUGGAGCCUGCUUCUCCCUCUGCCUGUGUCUCUGCCUCUCUCUUUCUCUCUCUCUCUCUCUCUCUCUGUGACUAUCAUAAAAAAAUAAAAUAAAAUAAAAUACUUUAUUAAAACUGGAAGCUAUUUUUAAUUUUUAAAAAUAGAUUAAACACUAUUAGUAAGAAGGUGAAAUUUCUUCCCCACUUGUUCCAAUAACCAAAUGAGCUACCCUCAGUUGAGCUAUGGAGAACUUGGGUCUUAUAGAUUUUUAAGCAACCAGGCUUCCAAUGUGGCAAAUCUUCAUUUAGAUGUCAGCAGAGAACUUCUAUAUAUUUCAGGUUUUUAAUGAGUGUCUAAAAUAAUCAUCCCUUUAGGCACAUUAAGGAUUACCUUAGAUAAUGUUAUGGCUUAGAACUCAAUUUAGAGCCUGGUAUAAUGCUAACAACUAAAAUGUUAUUAAAUAAACAAAUUAGUCCAUGUCAUCAGAUAAUGCCUUUGACCAUUACCAUCCAAGAUAACUUUUAUUUCUUCCUUUUAUUUAUAAUCACCAUUGAUUUAUAACUUCUCUUGGUCCCCUCAUCUGUAAAAUGGGAACAGCAACGGUACUUUGUACAACUGUGAGCGUCCAAUAACGUCAUAUAUGUAAAGCACCUAGCAGCAAGCAUAGAACUUGAUAAGCCCUCAACAAAUAUUAGCUGCUCCCAUUAACAGCAGCAUCAUCAUUAGCAUCACUAUCAUCAUCAUCAUCAUUAUCAUUCUAGAAUGGAAAUGCCAUCUGUCCCACUCUCUUUUUAAGCAAUCAUGAGCCUUAUUUUCUCCUUCUGAAAAAGAUCAUUUUACUACAGUUGAUUUUCCAAUACAUUCCCCACCAGAGGGUACAAUGUGGAAGGGAGUCAGAGUGUGAGAGCUGAAGGAGAAAGGGAGCCUGUUAAUUUGGAAAAAGCAACAUGUUCCAGAAAACCUUGGCCUAGUAUAUGAGAAAAAUGGACUUAGCAAUUACAACUGUUAUGAAACUUGUGUUUUAUGAAGCCAGAGGCUGGAACUGUACAAUAAAACAACUCAAAAAUAUCAAAAGACCACUUUGGGUGGCCUGCCAGUGGAUUAUAGACAUGACUUUUAUAUUGAGAGGGAUUGUCUGGCAUUGAAUCAGAGGAACUAUACUGUUUGAGCAGCAGGAUAUCAGUAGCUAGUUUGGGCUUAAAUAAAAAAAUCAAAAGUGGCAAAUCAGUACAGCAUAAACAAAACCUAAGAGAUUUGUUAUAUACAGUGUAAAGGAAGAGGGAGUUCUCUAAACAUCCAACUCUGAAGAAAAUGCUGGAAUUUUUUUUUUUUUUCUUAAAACCCUGCCUCUCAGUGCACUGCAACUUUUAAGGACUUAACUGAUAUUUAGGAGGACAUUUAACAUUGCAAUCUGUAUGGGAACAUUCUUCAAGUUAAUUUAAGAACAAAUUUAUUAUAAAAGCUCAUUUCUCUAAUUAUGAGGGGAGAGAAAAAAAGAUUACAGGUUGGAAAGAAAUGUGGCAGAGCCCAGAGGGGGGAAAAAAUCUCUCCAAUUUCCUAACACAAAAUAAGAGAAAUGCAGAAAUUGUCCUUUGUUGAAAACCACACCUGCAAAAGCUAAUGAGAGCAAGGCAUACCUCUGUGUCUGUCAACUGAUGGUUGAUAAGCAGCUAGUCUUAUAAAUGUUACUAGUUUAAAAUGGAAACAAAAACAUGCAUGAGUUUUAACUCAUAAUUGGUGGGAAAGACUACUACUGUUUCCAGAACUCAGCUGCUUGCUGCUCCCUCUUUCCUAGACAGAAUACUGAUACAGGUGCCAUUCAAGCUUUAAAUUCAUUUCUGCAGCAACCAUGGCCAUUUCUCUCAACCACUAGAACGUAACAUAUACCAAAUGUACAAGGUAGCAAAAGGGAGUUAUGUUUUAGGA